GGGUCUAAUAUGAUGUCAUCCUACCCUGUGCAGCUACAGGUUUGAGCUGAAGGUGUCCUGCUUGCCGUGGUGCUGGGGACAGGAGCUCGGUGAGGGGGCGCUCCUGGCACAACCCCCCUUUGUGUGAAGAUGCACCAGCACUGCUGCCCAGUCAAAGUCUUCAAUAUCAUGAGCAACCUCAAACUGUCACCGUGUAAAAGUGGCUCGACACCAAGACACUCACCACUAAGCAUGCGCAGCAGGUGCUGCGGUGGAGGGACUAGAUUCAGAUUUCUUUGACUGCCAACACUACACGAAGGUGGUGGGAGGGGC